rnacentral:rRNA from 1 species
AUGAACGCUGGCGGCGUGCCUCAUACAUGCAAGUCGAGCGAACGGACGAGAAGCUUGCUUCUCUGAUGUUAGCGGCGGACGGGUGAGUAACACGUGGAUAACCUACCUAUAAGACUGGGAUAACUUCGGGAAACCGGAGCUAAUACCGGAUGAUAUUUUGAACCGCAUGGUUCAAAAGUGAAAGACGGUCUUGCUGUCACUUAUAGAUGGAUCCGCGCUGCAUUAGCUAGUUGGUAAGGUAACGGCUUACCAAGGCAACGAUGCAUAGCCGACCUGAGAGGGUGAUCGGCCACACUGGAACUGAGACACGGUCCAGGCUCCUACGGGAGGCAGCAGUAGGGAAUCUUCCGCAAUGGGCGAAAGCCUGACGGAGCAACGCCGCGUGAGUGAUGAAGGUCUUCGGAUCGUAAAACUCUGUUAUUAGGGAAGAACAUAUGUGUAAGUAACUGUGCACAUCUUGACGGUACCUAAUCAGAAAGCCACGGCUAACUACGUG